rnacentral:rRNA from 1 species
UACGUAGGUGGCAAGCGUUGUCCGGAAUUACUGGGCGUAAAGAGCUCGUAGGUGGUUUGUCGCGUUGUUCGUGAAAACUCACAGCUCAACUGUGGGCGUGCGGGCGAUACGGGCAGACUAGACGUACUGCAGGGGAGACUGGAAUUCCUGGUGUAGCGGUGAAAUGCGCAGAUAUCAGGAGGAACACCGGUGGCGAAGGCGGUUCUCUGGGCCUUACCUGACGCUGAGGAGCGAAAGCGUGGGGAGCGAACAGG